CCCUGGUUAGCUCAGUGGGUAGAGCACUCCACUGGAAAUGGAGAGGUCCCUGGUUCUGAUACCAGGACCAGGCG
rnacentral:tRNA from 1 species